UUCCCGCUCUUUCUGGGUCGACUGUGAGCCUGUAGUGUGUGUCUCCGUGCGCUACGCUGGGAGAGGAACUUGUCGCCCAAAGCCGCAGGCUGGCAUAGCCUCAGCCUGAGCUCCGCCUUGGUCCUCAGCGUUGUGCACGUUUCUUGCUCCCCCAGCCCCCAGUUCCGGCAGGGAAGUCCGAAUCUCCAGACCUACAGCUCCCUACAGGGCCGUCGGUGACUUGGCUGGAGACCUUGAAUGUAAAUCAACAUCAUUCAGUCCUGGGGCCUGGUGGUAAGUCGGGAGUAGUUCAUAUCUAUCUGAAGUGCUUAGCAAUAAAGGAAAGGUGGUAUGA